AUUGAACGCUGGCGGCAUGCCUUACACAUGCAAGUCGAACGGUAACAGGUCUUCGGAUGCUGACGAGUGGCGAACGGGUGAGUAAUACAUCGGAACGUGCCCGAUCGUGGGGGAUAACGAAGCGAAAGCUUUGCUAAUACCGCAUAAGAUCUACGGAUGAAAGCAGGGGACCGCAAGGCAUUGCGCGAACGGAGCGACCGAUGGCAGAUUAGGUAGUUGGUGGGGUAAAAGCUUACCAAGCCGACGAUCUGGUGCUGGUCUGAGAGGACGACCAGCCACACUGGGGAGGGGACACGGCCAAGACUCCUACGGGAGGAGUCAGUGGGGAUUUUUGGACAAUGGGCAAAAGCCUGAUCCAGCCAUGCCGCGUGCAGGAUGAAGGCCUUCGGGUUGUAAACUGCUUUUGUACGGAACGAAAAGACUCUUUCUAAUAAAGAGGGUCCAUGACGGUACCGUAAGAAUAAGCACCGGCUAACUACGUGCCAGCAGCCGCCGUAAGAC
rnacentral:rRNA from 1 species